GUCGAACAGCAGCGGCACGGACUUCGGUCUGGUGGCGAGUGGCGAACAGGUGAGUAAUGUAUCGGAACGUGCCUAGUAGCGGGGGAUAACUACGCGAAAGCGUAGCUAAUACCGCAUACGCCCUUCGGGGAAAGCGGGGGACCUUCGGGCCUCGCACUAUUAGAGCGGCCGAUAUCGGAUUAGCUGGUUGGUGGGGUAACGGCUCACCAAGCGACGAUCGUAGCUGGUUUGAGGAGGACGACCAGCCACACUGGGACUGAGACACGGCCCAGACUCCUACACGGGAGGCAGCAGUGGGGAAUUUUGGACAAUGGAAACCCUGAUCGCUCAUCCGGCAUUAUUGCGACAGAAGGCCUUCGGGUUGUAAAGCACUUUUUGGCAGGAAAGAAGCAGCUGCGGGAUAAUACGUGCAGCCUGACGGUACCUACCAGAAUAGCACCGGCUAACUACGUGCCCAGCCGCGGUGUCGUAGGGUGCAAGCGUUAAUCGGAAUUACUGGGCGUAAAGCUGCGCAGGCGGUUCGGAAGAAAGAUGUGAAAUCCCAGAGCUUAACUUUGGAACUGCAUUUUCCCAACUACCGAGCUAGAGUGUGUCAGAGGUGGAAUUCCGCGUGUAGCAGUGAAAUGCGUAGAUAUGCGGAGGAACACCGAUGGCAACGGCCUCGCAGGAUAACACUGACGCUCAUGCACGAAAGCGUGAGCAAACAGGAUUAGAUACCCUGGUAGUCACGCCUAAACUGAUGUCAACUAGCUGUUGAGGCCUUCGGGCCUUGGUAGCGCAACUAACGCGUGAAGUUGACCGCCUGGGGAGUACGGUCGCAAGAUUAAAACUCAAAGGAAUUGACAGGGGACCCCUAAGCGGUGGAUGAUGUGGAUUAAUUCGAUGCAACGCGAAAAACCUUACCUACCCUUGACAUGUCUGGAAUCUCGAAGAGAUUUGGGAGUGCUCGCAAGAGAACCGGAACACAGGUGCUGCAUGGCUGUCGUCAGCUCGUGUCGUGAGAUGUUGGGUUAAGUCCCGCAACGAAGCGCAACCCUUGUCAUUGCGUUUGCCGAAGAGGGCACUCUAAUGAGACUGCCGGUGACAAACCGGAGGAAGGUGGGGAUGACGUCAGUCCUCAUGGCCCUUGUGGGUAGGGGCUUCACACGUCAUACAAUGGUCGGGACAGAGGGUCGCCAACCCGCGAGGCCAAUCAGAAACGAUCGUAGUCCCGGAUCGCAGUCUGCAACUCGACUGCGUGAAGUCGGAAUCGCUAGUAAUCGCGGAUCAGCAUGUCGCGAGUGAAUUACGUUCCCGGGUCUUGUACACACCGCCCGUCACCUGCUUGGGAGUGGGUUUGCAGAAGUAGUUAGCCUAACCGUAAGGAGGGGCGAUUAUACGGUAGGAUUCAUGACUGGGGUGAAGUCGUAACAAGGUAG
rnacentral:rRNA from 1 species